AGGACGAACGCUGGCGGCGUGCUUAACACAUGCAAGUCGAGCGACGCUCUCCCUUCGGGGGGAUGACGGAGCGGCGAACGGGUGAGUAACACGUGGGCAACCUGCCCCUAGCUCUGGGACAACUCCGGGAAACCGGGGCUAAUACCGGAUACGACCUCUGAGGACAUCCUCGGCGGUGGAAAGUUUUUCGGCUAGGGAUGGGCCCGCGGCCUAUCAGCUUGUUGGUGAGGUAACGGCCCACCAAGGCGACGACGGGUA
rnacentral:rRNA from 1 species